rnacentral:rRNA from 1 species
UACGUAGGGUGCAAGCGUUUGUCCGGAAUUAUUGGGCGUAAAGAGCUCGUAGGCGGUCUGUCACGUCGGCUGUGAAAACCCGAGGCUCAACCUCGGGCCUGCAGUCGAUACGGGCAAACUAGAGUACUGCAGGGGAGACUGGAAUUCCUGGUGUAGCGGUGAAAUGCGCAGAUAUCAGGAGGAACACCGGUGGCGAAGGCGGGUCUCUGGGCCGAUACUGACGCUGGAGGAGCGAAAAGCGUGGGGAGCGAACAGG